AACGAACGCUGGCGGCAUGCCUAGCACAUGCAAGUCGAACGAAGCCUUCGGGCUUAGUGGCGCACGGGUGCGUAACACGUGGGAAUCUGCCCUUCGGUUCGGAAUAACAGUUAGAAAUGACUGCUAAUACCGGAUGAUGACGAAAGUCCAAAGAUUUAUCGCCGAAGGAUGAGCCCGCGUAGGAUUAGGUAGUUGGUAGGGUAAUGGCCUACCAAGCCGACGAUCCUUAGCUGGUCUGAGAGGAUGAUCAGCCACACUGGGACUGAGACACGGCCCAGACUCCUACGGAGGCAGCAGUGGGGAAUAUUGGACAAUGGGCGAAAGCCUGAUCCAGCAAUGCCGCGUGAGUGAUGAAGGCCUUAGGGUUGUAAAGCUCUUUUACCAGGGAUGAUAAUGACAGUACCUGGAGAAUAAGCUCCGGCUAACUCCGUGCCAGCCGCCGCAGUAA
rnacentral:rRNA from 1 species